rnacentral:pre_miRNA from 1 species
AGGGGAAGGGGAGGAUCCCUCAGCCUGGAUUAGGAGAGGGUGCAGGCCAGGCUGAGGGACCCCACCAGUGCAUG